UUUUCAUCCUGUUCCUACCCCCAGGAGCUGGAGGAGGACCCCUGUAUACAUCUGAACCCUUAACGAUUUGCAUGUCCAUCCCGGCAUAUUGUGGGCACAAUUAGAUCACAAGGACUGCAGACUAAGAUGGUUCAGUGAACAUUUAAAGGCAGAGGCAAAUUUAGGAAGGAGAGCAAAUGCUGUAGUGCCAGUUACAGCAGUUUGGCAUACAGUAAGUUUACAGUGUUUGCAAGCAAAGGGAGAGAAAUCUGCUUGUCAUUUUCUGUGAUAAUUUUUGCUAAAAUCCAAGUAAUUGUGCAUGAUAACAAAAAGGAACAAUUAACACAGUUUGUACUUUGCAAAGGUGAGAAAGGGAUAGCUGUCAACAGGAUGUGGAUGAAAGCACCAGUAACUCAUUUGGAAAAGAUCUAGCACCAGAAUAAAUGUACAACAGCUUACCAGGCUGAGAGAGGACAGGAUCUGCUGGUCUGAACGAUGGUUUGAUCUGUUACGAUGGGAGUGAAGUCUUCAGUUUGAAAAAUAUUAUUCUGCUUCCUGGGUCUGCAAAAGACAGGACCAGACUGCAAGGGAAAGCCUGGAGAGGAUUUCCAUGCUUUAAAAAGAGAAACAGGGGAAGACUGAAUUUCCUGAGGUCACUGAGGAAACGCAUGGCAGUGCUAGGAAAAGAAGCACUCGAGCAGCCGAGAUACCAUAUUCACAGCCAAAACCAGAUGGGUUUUCUCUGCAGUGUGACAUAACAGCAAAGACAGAGCAGUUUAACCAUUCCGGUGCAGUGAACAACUUCCGCGCUGCUGUGAGCUUGACUCCUAGCCUCAAGAUCUCACCCUCCCUAGUGUUGUCUGGAUAUCAAUUUUUUUCAACCCCCAGUCCUUCCUCACAGAUCCACAAAUAUUAUCGAGCUCUUCCUCUGUUAUGUCCUCAACUGGGCGCACAACGUGUGGAAAAGCCAUGGCACCACGGUGACCCCUCCUGGGAGAUUGGGCUUCAUGCUGAUUAGCAAAGACACAAUACUUUUAGUACUAGUUUCAGUAAAAACUCUACAAAGGCGAGGAUUUUCACAGCAAUGCCAAAGCCGUAAACACCCAUCAUUUUAAACAAGAUAUAACAGAAGUCUGCACAGACAUAUGAUAUGAAUGCAGCUUCAGCACGUUCACUGAUCACCUUAAAGGUGCAGAGAUGCUACUGAUCUUGUGUAAUUCCUGCUAGAGUGCAAGAGGAAGUGAUUUUUCAAGGAUAAGGGAGGGAAAAUGGAGAACACAUACAAUAUGUUAUUUUUUGUACUUCUUCCAAGGCCAUGGCAUACUGAUAAACCUCAUCAACUCUGUAGGAAUUGCUAUUGUCUGGAAGGAAUAAAAAACCACCUUCACAACCCACAA